UGCAGUCACCAUACCACUCUGAACACAUCUAAUCUCAUCUGAUUUUAGAAGUUGUGCAUGGUUAGCCUGGGUUAAUAUUUGGAUAGACUAUCAGGAAGCACCAGGCAAGACUAAGA
rnacentral:rRNA from 1 species